rnacentral:lncRNA from 1 species
UGGAAUAUAGCGAAAUAGUGAAAAUGAAAUACAUAGAAUACAGUGGGGCACAUUGAAAUACAUUAAAAAAAAGACAAUAAAUACAAUGAAAUACAACGAGAUACGUUGAAAUAUACUAACAGAAAAUUCAAAGUUGCUCAGCCUCCAACUCCGUCAUUUUUGUUCAAGAAUAACCCUAGUGUCGUCACGUUGAGCAGCAUCAGUAUCCAGUCCUCGCUCGCUAUCACCGUUGCCUCAGGUUGCCGACGAUUAGCACGUAAUUACCAGCGAAUUACGGAGGUUUUGUUGAUUCUAUAUGUUGCGUUAGACAAUGAGAUUGGAGGCUGAGGGCGGCGGUGUCAAUGAAUAACGGCCACGGUCGAACGGUGACGGUGGCAAUUGCUCCAUCAUUUGGCGAAGGAGAAGACAUCGGGAAGUAGAGAGAGAAAGAGAGGAAUAGAUAUGAGGUAAGGGAUAGGAGAAAUUUGAGGAGAUAUAAGAGAGAAAAAUAAUACAAAGUUUAUUUUAUGGCUUAAGAGUAGGAGGUACCCAUAAAAUAGAUAUUUGGCAUAAAAAUCAAAAGAUGGCUAUGAAAUAUAAUUUUUUAAAUAGUAUUUAUUUAAAAUAAAUAAGGUAUCAACCUUUUGUUAUAUGAGAUAACUAAUCCAUAAAGUUAAUUUUCCACAAGUGAUAUAUGGGAUGGUAAAAUGUACGCAGUUUUAUUCCUAUUCCUAGAAGGGUAAAAAUAUUAUUUUCGAUAUACCCUCGAUUAAAGCACGACCAAAAAAGAAAAGUUGAGCUAAAUAUAAUGAUUAUAAAGAAAAUUAAUCGAACUUGCACGCAAGCUAACUCAGACGUCACGCUUAUAAAUAAUUAAAAAAGAACAAAAACAAGAACACGAGUAUAGAGAGACGGUAUAAACCGUAAAAGAAAAAAAAGAGAUGAUGAAAAAAAGAGAAGAAAGAGGGAGGAUGAUUACAAAGGUAUUGGGAGAGGAAAAGAAUCUCGUAGAAAAGGGAAGAAAUAUUUGUCGUCCUGCAACAAUGAUUAUACCUCUUUUUUUUCUCACUUU